CUCGGGGAUAGCCUUUCGAAAGAAAGAUUAAUACCCGAUGUCAUAGUCCUACCGCAUGAUGGGAUUAUUAAAGAAUUUCGGUAUGGGAUGGGGAUGCGUUCCAUUAGUUAGUUGGCGGGGUAACGGCCCACCAAGACAACGAUGGAUAGGGGUUCUGAGAGGAAGGUCCCCCACAUUGGAACUGAGACACGGUCCAAACUCCUACGGGAGGCAGCAGUGAGGAAUAUUGGUCAAUGGACGAGAGUCUGAACCAGCCAAGUAGCGUGAAGGAUGACUGCCCUAUGGGUUGUAAACUUCUUUUAUAUGGGAAUAAAAUGUUCCACGUGUGGGAUUUUGUAUGUACCAUAUGAAUAAGGAUCGGCUAACUCCGUGCCAGCAGCCGCGGUAAUACGGAGGAUUCGAGCGUUAUCCGGAUUUAUUGGGUUUAAAGGGAGCGUAGGUGGAUUGUUAAGUCAGUUGUGAAAGUUUGCGGCUCAACCGUAAAAUUGCAGUUGAAACUGGCAGUCUUGAGUACAGUAGAGGUGGGCGGAAUUCGUGGUGUAGCGGUGAAAUGCUUAGAUAUCACGAAGAACUCCGAUUGCGAAGGCAGCUCACUGGACUGCAACUGACACUGAGGCUCGAAAGUGUGGUAUCAAACAGGAUUAGAUACCCUGGUAGUCCACACAGUAAACGAUGAAUGCUCGCUGUUUGCGAUAUACUGCAAGCGGCCAAG
rnacentral:rRNA from 1 species